CAACCGCUUCGACAUCGUUUCUCCCAUCACACCCCGGGACUACGGAGCUCGGCGCGGGACAAACCGAGGCCGGUCGCCGAGCGCUGCCACACACCUGAUAACAAUGAAGGUGGCGGGGAGGAGGCUCUCCGGCAGCGGCAGUCCCUUGGAAUCGAGGAUGAAUUAAUUCCAUUCCAUUUUUGUGUGUUCUUGGGUGGCUAACGGGGCCGGCGUAGAAGCCACAGAUGCUUUGACAAAAUGGAGAUUGAUUGUGAAGUAAUCCACUCUUUCAGUUAUCUGGAAAGAAUAUCCUCAAAAUACUCAGCAGAUCAGAUAGCAUUGAUGAAAUUACUAUCUGUCUUCUAUGGUUAAACCAAUUCUGAAUCAAAAUGGCCAAGCCAUCAUGGAUCCUGUGCAUAUUAAUCUUCUGGGUAAGACUAUGAGGAACUUGUCUAAAGUCUUACUAAGCUCCUUGUGGACAGGUUCUGCCUUCAUUGGAAGUGAGUGACCUUUGCAGUGAUCAUUGCUACCAACAUAGUAGUAAAUAACACUAUUCUGCUUUGCAUCACUGAAGUCCGCUAGACAAUACUUCUAUUUAAGUGCUUGUUAAAUGUCACCACCGUAUAUUUUUCCAACACCUUCCAUGGUGGUAUGUGCAGAGCACUUACUAUUCUCUGCAUACGAAGCUUGCCUCAUAAAUGUGCAAGCUUUUCCUCUCUCAUCUUAAACUCAUAUCCUCCAGUAUUUGACGGUUUUAUCCUGGCAAAGAAAAUACUAACUCUCUACCCUACCUAGGCCUCAUUUAAUUUUACACACUUCUCUGAGGCCUUCUUUCAGCCUUGGACACUCCAGGGAAAACAACUCACAUUUGUCCAAUGGUUCCCUAUAGCUAGCACACACCAAAUGAGGCAAUAUCCUGGUAAGCCACUUCUGCAUCUCCUCCUCUUUCUUCCUACAGUGGUGAACAGAACUGCACACGACACUCCACAUGUAGCCUAAACAAAUGUUAUUCAGCUGCCACAUGGCUUCCAGAUGCAAGCAUGCCAUAUGCCUUCCUUACAAACCUGUGCACUUGUAAUGUCACUGCAGGAGUAUUCAAGUGAGCUGGUGCACAGCACAGCCAUGUAAAUAUUGCACCAAGUCACUUCUGGCACAAAUCAUUUUUAAAAUUGAUAUGCACAUCUUCAUAUGGACCAUCCAGGCACCUGACUGUAGAAAUAUAUUGUGUGGUGCAACCCUGCUCUAUCUUAGAAAUAAGUUGCAGUAGUCCCAUCUUUGGCAGCACUGCUGUUAUAUAAAUAAUCUGGCUGUGUCACCAGCAGCAUUACAAAGAAAUGCUCAGUGAAACUGUCAUUGUAAUGAUGUUGGUGUUCUUAUCAUACCAAUAUACAGUGCUAGGAAUAUAAUGAAGCAACAUGGAGAAAUGCUAAAAUACCCCCAACUUGUCUAAUGUAUUCUCUCCAAAUACUCUGUUCAUGUACACAGACCUCAUUCACUUCAUAUGCAGCAUUGCCUUUACCUUUUUGAAAGAAAAGAUCAGUUCACCCGGAUGCAUUAUUUGUAGAGUUACAACUCUAUAGGCUUUCUGAGUCUCACUGAACUUUUCAAAUCCGAUGAUUUUGGCAUCAUAUCCAGUUCUUAUCUUGGGGAAGCUGCUACUUCUUCACAAUCUAGUAGGGUUUUGUGCCAUUUCUUCUACAGCAUAGUAUCCAUUGGAUUAAUUUCUGGAAUUCUCUCAUGAUCACAUAGUUCUUUGAUAUACUGUAUAACUUGCUGGAUUUAUAAUUCUGUCUCUUGUUUUCACAAUGUGUCCCUCUAUAUUGCAUAUUUCAAUGCCCUGCUUCUAGAUGUCAUAGUUCUAAGGUGAUGUUAAUAUGUAAGAUCUGUCAUAUUAUUUAAAAUCUUUGAAACAUAAUUGUGUUUCUGUCUGCACUGCUUCUUUUCCUCCUUAAUCAAAAUUUGGCUAAGCCAAGCACAGUUGUGUCUUUGCCUUUGGUCCAUUUAUAACUCAUUAUGGAAUGUGGAUAUUGUGUGUAAUUUAGCAAGAUGUUUGCUAAUCUAUGUUUCAGUGUUACACUUGGGAACUUUUUCUUCUUUAAUGCUUCUUUGACAAUUUUCAGCGAUCCCUGUACCGUGCCAUUUGAUGCUGUUUGAUCCUGUGAAACAGAUAUGUGUUGAAUACCAUUUUAUUUUAUAAAUCACUCAAAUGGAAAUUAGUGGCACUGAGCACCAUCUCUUCAUGAGGUACAUUAAUCAUGUCCUUGUCGUAAAAGUGUAAUUUCGUGUGGGUGCUUAUUCGAAUGUCAAGUGGUGCCAAGAAUACAGUAUUAUGAAUCACUAAGAGACACGGAGAACUGAUAUAAUAUAUUUCCACCUUCUUUAUUCCACUGUUUCCAACAACAGGGCAUAUAGAGUCAUAGAAAACUACAGCACAUAAAUAGGUACAUAAAUAAUACAGACCAUGGAGCCUGUGUGAACUAUUUAAACUGCUUAGUCCAAUUGACCAGCAUCAGGACAGUAGUCCUUCAUGCUCUUCCCAUCCAUGUACCUAUCCACACUUCAGUUAAACAUUGAAAUUGGAAUCGCAUCCUCUACUUGCACUGGCAGCUUGUUCAACCCUGUCACCACAUUCUGAAUGAAGAAGCUUCCCCUAAUGUUCCCUUUAAACUUUCACCUUUCACCCUUAACCCAUAAUCUCUAGUCUCUAGUCUCACCCAACCUCAAUGGCAAAAGCUUGCUUACAUUUACCUUAUCUAUAUCUCUCAUAAUUUCAUAUACCACUUUCAAAUCUCCCCUCAAUCUUCUGUGCUCUAGGGAAUGAGAUUCUAACCUAUUCAACCUUUCCAUAUAACUCAGAUCCUCCAGUCCCUGCAGCAUCCUUGUAAAUUUUCUCUGCACUCUUUCAAACUUACUUACAUAUUUCCUGUAGGUAUGUGACCAAAACUAUACAAAGUACUCCAAAUUAGGCCUUAUCGAUGUCUUGUGCAACUUCAACAUUGAACCCUCCUGACCAACCUUCUGUGCAGGACCUUGUCAAAUGCCUUGCUGAAGUCCAUGUAGGUAACAUCCUCUGCCUUGCUUUCAUCAAUGUGCCUGGUAUUAUCCUGAAAAACAACAUAAGAUUGGUUGGACACAACCUACCUACCACGUACAAAGCCAUGCUGAUUACCACUAAUCAGUCUUUGUCUAUCCAAAUUCUCAUAUAUCUGGUCUCCUAGAAUACCUUCCAAUAACUUCCCUGCUACUGAUGUCAGGCUCACUGGCCUAAAGUUUCCUGUUUUCUUCUUAGUGACUUUCUCAAAUGGCAGACCAACAUUAGCUAUCCUUCAAUCCUCCUGCACCUCACUUGGUGCUAAGGAUGAUUUAAGUAUCUCUGCUAGGACCCUUGCAGUUUCUGCACUUGCCUCCCACAAGAUCUGAGGGAACACUUUGUCAGGCCCUAAGGAUUUGUCCCCCCCCUAAUCUUCCUUAAGACAGCAAACACGUCCUCCUCUGUAAUAGGUAUAGGGUUUGUGACCUUGCUGUUGCUUUGUCUCACUUCUGUAGACUCUGGGUCCACCUCCUGAGUAAAUGCAGAUGCAAAAAAUCAACUUAAGAACUCCCCAAACUCUUUUGGCUCCAUGCAUAGACCAGUUUUGUCCCUUGCAAUCCCUGGCUCUUAAUAUAUCUGUGAAGUCCUUGGGAUUCUCCUUCACCUUGUCUGCUAGAGCAAUCUCAUGCCUUCUUUUAGCCCUCCCACUUUGUUUCUCAAGUGCACAUAGGUCACAUCAUUCCACUCUAGUCAAUCAUACAAAGGAUAGCUGUGGAACUGGUAUAAUAAUGUAAGCAUUUGGUCCAACAAGUUGUGUAGGCUGAAAAUUGAACAUUGUAUGUCAUAUUCACAUAGUUAAUGAUAUCUUGUAUGCAGAUUAACAGCUGUAUUUCAUUGAAAUAGGGAUUGCAAAAUAAAGGUAUUUCAUUGACUAUAGUGCCUGAUAUAUAUUUAACUGAGUACUUGUUUGA